AGAAAACAAGGAGAUUAAAAUUCUUUCCUACUGAUGUAGGAAACCUGGGCUUUCUAGCCUUUCUUGGCACUGUAUUAUUAAAGGUUCAAUGAAUUUUUUCCAUGGUCUAAAAAAACAGAAUCUGCUCAUUAAAACAGACCAAUGCACUUGACUUUGAUUCCUGGAAAACUUCUGAAACAUAUUAUUAGAGGCAUGAUCUGGAAAGGGAAGCAGAGAUCAACAAGAGCUAGCAGCACUUCAUCAGGAACAGGUCAUGCCAAAGUAACCAAAUUUCCAGUCAUAAAAAGUGAAUAAAUUUAAUUUGGAAAAGGAAAUUUAAAGCUAGAAAACAAUUAGCUUUGGAGGAGGAAACGUUAAAGAGGAAAUUCCCUUCUAUGAAGAAUUAUAAGAAAACUAGUAGAAAAAAAAGGCAGAGAACUUUUUGGCAACAAAGGCUGAUAUAAAUAAAAUAAAAUAAAAUAUUAAAAAAAAGUAAAAGUGUUAUAUAAAUGUUAACUAAAUAAAGCUAAUUAGAUUAUUGCUGGAAUUGAUCUAGCCCACAACAACUUGUACUUUUGAGUCACCAAUUUGUAUCUGUACCUAGCCAUGACUGUCUGAAAAGUAUUGUUACUGGGUAGCUGCCUUUACUAUUUUAGGGGAAGGUGGGUAGUGCAGUGAACAGAGCCCUGAACCUGGAAUCAGGAAGACCUGAGUUCAAAUGUGGCCUCAGACAUUUACUGGCUGUGUGAUCCUGGUCAAAUCACUUAAUCUCUGCAUGUCUCAGUUUCCUUAUCUGUAAAAUGGGGAUAAUAACAGCACCUACUUCCCAGGGUUGUUGUGAGGAUUAAAUAAAAUAUUUGUAAUUGUGAGGAUUAAAUAAAAUAUUUGUAAAGCACUUAGUACUGUGUCUGACACAUAGAAGCAUUAUGUAAAUGCUUGUUAUUCUUAUAUAAUUCGUAUUUUAUUAUUGUGCAAAUCAGAAUAUAAGAAAGUGAUUUUUUUUCCUUUUGAAUAAACAAUGUAAAGCUAAAUGUUAAUAUAAAAAGCUAAAAAUAAAUGUAAUAGCCAAAUAAAGCAGGAUUAAAUUAAAAAAAAAAAAAAAAACAAAGGCUGAUAAACAGUGGAAGAAAGUAUCAUGAAGUGAGUUGUUUCUUUCUAGAGACCACUGCAAGGAAGGUAGUACACUGAAUGACAUCACUGUGGCCCAGAACCUGGGUCACAAUCUGUGGGAUAAAGGUCAGGACUGCAAUGUCUGGAGUGACUCAGGAUGAUCCAGGCUGUCUGAAGCAGUGCUUCCCCAUCUUACAUCUAUUCUUGUUCUUUUCUUCCCAGGGCUCCUGGCACCACCAACAUACAUGGCAGCCAUCAGCCUGAGCAGGGAACUCGGCUGGCUAAGGAAUUCUGCCAGCCUUGGGAGAUGUGGCUUGUCAUAAGGGAGCUGGGCUUAAUAUCUUUAUACCAUCAAGCUAUCCUUCAAAGACAUUUGGCUUUUCCAAAGCAAUUCCAAUAGACUUUGGACAGAAAAUGCCAUCUGCAUCCAGAAAAAGAACUAAAAGGACAAAAUGUAAAUCAACACAUGUUAUGUUUACUUCUUUUUUUUUUUUUAAUCUCUACUAUGAUUUUUUUCUUUUGCUCUGAUUUUUCUCUCACAACAUGAUUCAUAAAGUAAUGUGUAUGAACAAUAAAUACAUUUACUAGGGGAAAAAAGAGAGAGAAUGAAGGACAAACAACAACAAAGAUUCAAUCAAGAGAGAAACUUACAUCAUGUCAGCCAUAUUAAUACUAUUUUAGAUGCACAUUUAUGAAUAUGUGUAUGUAUACAUGUAUGUGUGUACACACACAAAUAAAUAUAUCCUUGCUUAACUGUAACUUGCUUUGGGGAGAUGGGGGGGAUAAAAGAGAGGGAGAAAGAACAAAACAGAAAAUAUACAACAGAGACCAAAAGAAAGCAAAGCUGGACAGUCAUGAAUAUAAUGUCUUCUGUUAUUAUAUAGGCUUUCUUGAAAUGUAAAUUUAAUGUUACAUGUUUUCAAGCAUCCCCCCCGAUGUUAUGCUUGACACAAGACAAUGUUUUCUUUUGUUUUUCCUUUUUCUUAUUUUGUAUUUAAUUUUAAAUAAAUACAAUUCUGAAAUAAAAA